UUCCUACGGGAGGCUGCAGUGGGGAAUUUUGCGCAAUGGGCGAAAGCCUGACGCAGCAACGCCGCGUGGGUGAUGAAGGUCUUCGGAUCGUAAAACCCUGUCGUCAGGGACGAAGGUUGUGUUCCUAAUACGGAUGCAACUUGACGGUACCUGGAGAGGAAGCCCCGGCUAACUCUGUGCCAGCAGCCGCGGUAAUACAGAGGGGGCAAGCGUUAUUCGGAAUUAUUGGGCGUAAAGGGCGCGUAGGCGGGGGUUUAAGUGAGAUGUGUAAUCCCCGGGCUUAACCUGGGAACUGCAUCUCAGACUGGAUCGCUAGAGUGCUGGAGAGGGUGGUGGAAUUCCACGUGUAGCGGUGAAAUGCGUAGAGAUGUGGAGGAACACCAGUGGCGAAGGCGGCCACCUGGACAGUAACUGACGCUGAGGCGCGAAAGUGUGGGGAGCAAACAGGAUUAGAUACCCCAGUAGUCGC
rnacentral:rRNA from 1 species